UCACUGAGUACAAAUAUGUUUGCAUAAAAGAAGCCAAACUGGGAGACAACUGUCACAACUGGUACGACUGUGAAGCUAUAAUUGACGCAAAAUGUUCAGUAGAUGGUACAUGUGUUUGUAGAAAAACCUCUCGAGAGUGGAAUAGCACGAUUUGUUCAUAUCCUACUAUCGGAAAUCGAUUGAUCCCUGAGCUUGCUAAGAAUUACCAUUAUGAUCGAUUACACGAAGCGUAUCGAAGAAAGACCAAAUAUUAUUCCCAAUCUGGCCUCAACAGGGUAUCAAAAAUACAGUUUGGAGAACUGUGCAAAGGUCAUAAUCAAUGUACAGAGUUUGGCGAUCGAGGCCUCGUUUGUGCUGUUUCUCUUAAGG